rnacentral:rRNA from 1 species
CAGUCGCCGCGGGAAUACGGAGGAUGCAAGCGUUAUCCGGAAUGAUUGGGCGUAAAGCGUCUGUAGGUGGCUUUUCAAGUCCGCCAUCAAAUCCCUGGGCUCAACCCUGGACAGGCAGUGGAAACUACCAAGCUGGAGUACGGUAGGGGCAGAGGGAAUUUCCGGUGGAGAGGUGAAAUGCGUUGAGAUUGGAAAGAACACCAACGGUGAAAGCGCUCUGCUGGGCCGACACUGACACUGAGAGACGAGAUCUAGGGGAGCAAAUGGGAUUAGAUACCCCUGUAGUCCCUGUCUCUUAUAU